rnacentral:rRNA from 1 species
UACGUAGGGACCAAGCGUUGUUCGGAUUUACUGGGCGUAAAGGGCGCGUAGGCGGCAAUUCAAGUCAGCUGUGAAAUCUCCGGGCUUAACUCGGAAAGGUCAACUGAUACUGUGCGACUAGAGUGCAGAAGGGGCAACUGGAAUUCUCGGUGUAGCGGUGAAAUGCGUAGAUAUCGAGAGGAACACCUGCGGCGAAGGCGGGUUGCUGGGCUGACACUGACGCUGAUGCGCGAAAGCCAGGGGAGCGAACGGG